UUGAGAUCUACUCUGAAAUUCCCAAGGAGAAUUGUGAGAUUAUGCCAGAGAUAACUGCAAGAUGGAGAGCCUAUGAUUUUGGUGUCUUGACAGACCUGAGCACGGUUUGAGACAUUACUGAGAUCUCUUUUGCAACUCCUGAUGAGAAAUAUUUAGGUGUCUUGGCAAUCCUGAGCAGAGUUUGAGACAUUGUUUUCUUCUGAACUUCCCAAGGAGAAACGUGAGAUUAUUUGCCACAGAAAAUUGUA